GAUGAACGCUGGCGGCGUGCCUAAUACAUGCAAGUCGAGCGAACAGACGAGGAUCUUGCUCCUCUGACGUUAGCGGCGGACGGGUGAGUAACACGUGGAUAACCUACCUAUAAGACUGGGAUAACUUCGGGAAACCGGAGCUAAUACCGGAUAAUAUAUUGAACCGCAUGGUUCAAUAGUGAAAGACGGUUUUGCUGUCACUUAUAGAUGGAUCCGCGCCGCAUUAGCUAGUUGGUAAGGUAACGGCUUACCAAGGCAACGAUGCGUAGCCGAAGUGAGAGGGGGAUCGGCCACCCUGGAACUGAGACACGGUCCAGACUCCUACGGGAGGCAGCAGUAGGGAAUCUUCCGCAAUGGGCGAAAGCCUGACGGAGCAACGCCGCGUGAGUGAUGAAGGUCUUCGGAUCGUAAAACUCUGUUAUUAGGGAAGAACAAAUGUGUAAGUAACUAUGCACGUCUUGACGGUAACUAAUCAGAAAGCCACGGCUAACUACGUG
rnacentral:rRNA from 1 species